AAGCUCUGUUGGAAAUGAUUCAAAAAUGGUUUUUUAUAGAAGCGGAGCCAACCUGGGAGAAGGUGUGUGCUUCUUUAUGCUCUCUAUCUGUUGGGAGACAUGGGCUGGCAAAACAGAUAGAACGCGAUGUCUUAAGACAGGGUGCACAAAAUGCAUCAGCAAGGCCUACAGGAAGUAAUGAGAAGAGAAAGAGUGCAUCUGCUACUAACACUGAAGAGGCAAAACAAUCUGGUCAAAAACACGUGAGUGACCCACCUGCUGUCAGCCCAAAGAGAGCAAAAGUGUUAAAGCCAGGAAAGAUCGAGAGUGAUCAAGUUUUCAUGAAAAUUGGCAACGAGCUUGGAGACAAGUGGAUGAAUGUUGGUGUGGCAUUAGGAAUGAAGUACAAGGACCUCAAAAACACAAUCAAAGAUGACCACAACAUAGAACACCACCUCAAACCAAUGGAGAUGUUUCAGAUGUGGAAAAGUAAAGCUGGUGACUCCUGCACGUAUGCAACACUGGCCACAGCACUGGAAGAAGUUGGCCUCGAUACAUGCGCACAAACAUACUGUUAUGAACAAGGAUAGAUCUAUAUAUCAACAAUUUUAUUUUUGUUAUACAUUCAUAAUUAUACGUACAUUUGUAUACGUAUUAUUUUACACUGUUUCUUCAUUGUCCAUUUCUAGUAAUGAUGCUGAGAGCAUUUGCAAGUC